rnacentral:lncRNA from 1 species
GUGAAAAUGAAACGGAUACUAACACCUCGAUAAUUGAAGAGAACUCUAUCCAAGAUUGCAAAUUGGUUAGGGAUAGAGAAAUAAAGCAAAUUAAGAAUUGCAGUUUGGUUAAUUUGCCUAAUGGUCAAAGAAUGGUACAAUGUAAGUGGAUUUCCACACUAAAAGAGGGGUUUGACUAUAUUGAGAUAUUUUCUCCUGUCAUUGAAUAUAAAACAAUAAUUAGAUUGAUUUUAGCAUUAGUUGCUCAAUUCAUUUGGGAAUGUGAACCACUAGAUGUUAAAACUGCUUUCCUAAAUUGGGAAUUGGAAGAAAAUAUCCAUACGAGUCAAUUCUUGGGCUUUGAGGUGAAGAGUGACCUUGUUUGUAAAUUGAGAAGGUUUGAUAGGUUGAUCUUUAAAGGAUGUGUGGAUGUUGACUUUGUGAGUGACAAAGAUCACAGUAAAUCCAUUAUUGCCUAUUACUUUACAUUGG